UACGUAGGGCGCAAGCGUUGUCCGGAAUUAUUGGGCGUAAAGAGCUCGUAGGUGGUUUGUUACGUCUGCUGUGAAAACCUAGGGCUUAACCCUGGGCCUGCAGUGGAUACGGGCAGACUAGAGGUAGGUAGGGGAGAAUGGAAUUCCCGGUGUAGCGGUGAAAUGCGCAGAUAGUCGGGAGGAACGACCGGUGGCGAAGGCGGUUCUCUGGGCCUUACCUGACACUGAGGAGCGAAAGCGUGGGAGCGAACAGG
rnacentral:rRNA from 1 species